rfam:Anopheles stephensi strain SDA-500 unplaced genomic scaffold supercont1.171, whole genome shotgun sequence.
UUAUUUUCCUUGAUGAUAUAUAGUUCAUAUGAACCAAAACCAUGAUCACAAGUACUAUGGCAAGGUCUUUCGCUCCUAUCUGAAUAAGAUG